rnacentral:rRNA from 1 species
AGGAAAAGAAACCAACAGGGAAUGCCCUAGUAACGGCGAGUGAAGCGGCAACAGCUCAAAUUUGAAAUCUGGCGCAAGCCCGAGUUGUAAUUUGUAGAGGAUGCUUCUAGGUAGCGACCGGUCUAAGUUCCUUGGAACAGGACGUCAUAGAGGGUGAGAAUCCCGUAUGUGACUGGCCCGCACCUUCUACGUAGCUCCUUCGACGAGUCGAGUUGUUUGGGAAUGCAGCUCUAAAUGGGAGGUAAAUUUCUUCUAAAGCUAAAUACCGGCCAGAGACCGAUAGCGCACAAGUAGAGUGAUCGAAAGAUGAAAAGCACUUUGGAAAGAGAGUUAAAAAGCACGUGAAAUUGUUGAAAGGGAAGCGCUCACAACCAGACUUCUAGGCAGUGUUCCGCCGGUCUUUUGACCGGUCUACUCUCUGUCUCGAGGCCAACAUCAUCUGGGACCGCCGGAUAAGACCUUAGGAAUGUAGCUCCCCUCGGGGAGUGUUAUAGCCUCUGGUGAUGCGGCGCGUCUCGGGUGAGGUCCGCGCUUCGGCAAGGAUGUUGGCGUAAUGGUUGUCAGCGGCCCGUCUUGAAACACGGACCAAGGAGUCUAACAUCUAUGCGAGUGUUCGGGUGUCAAACCCCUACGCGUAAUGAAAGUGAACGGAGGUGGGAAGCGUAAGCUGCACCAUCGACCGAUCCUGAUGUCCUCGGAUGGAUUUGAGUAAGAGCAUAGCUGUUGGGACCCGAAAGAUGGUGAACUAUGCCUGAAUAGGGUGAAGCCAGAGGAAACUCUGGUGGAGGCUCGCAGCGGUUCUGACGUGCAAAUCGAUCGUCAAAUUUGGGUAUAGGGGCGAAAGACUAAUC